rnacentral:rRNA from 1 species
UACGUAGGGUGCGAGCGUUGUCCGGAAUUAUUGGGCGUAAAGAGCUUGUAGGCGGUUUGUCGCGUCUGCCGUGAAAAAUCCGAGCUCAACCUCGAACUUGCGGUGGGUACGGGCAGACUAGAGUGUGGUAGGGGAGACUGGAAUUCCUGGUGUAGCGGUGGAAUGCGCAGAUAUCAGGAGAAACACCGAUGGCGAAGGCAGAUCUCUGGGCCGUAACUGACGCUGAGGAGCGAAAGCUGGGGAGCGAACAGG